UACGUAGGGGGCUAGCGUUGUCCGGAAUCAUUGGGCGUAAAGCGCGUGUAGGCGGUCCGGUAAGUCCGCUGUGAAAGCCGAGGGCUCAACCCUCGAAUGCCGGUGGAUACUGUCGGGCUUGAGUACGGGAGAGGCGAGUGGAAUUCCUGGUGUAGCGGUGAAAUGCGCAGAUAUCAGGAGGAACACCGAUUGCGAAGGCAGCUCGCUGGAACGUUACUGACGCUGAGACGCGAAAGCGUGGGGAGCAAACAGG
rnacentral:rRNA from 1 species